rnacentral:rRNA from 1 species
GAUGAACGCUGGCGGCGUGCCUAAUACAUGCAAGUCGAGCGAAUGGAUUAAGAGCUUGCUCUUAUGAAGUUAGCGGCGGACGGGUGAGUAACACGUGGGUAACCUGCCCAUAAGACUGGGAUAACUCCGGGAAACCGGGGCUAAUACCGGAUAACAUUUUGAACCGCAUGGUUCGAAAUUGAAAGGCGGCUUCGGCUGUCACUUAUGGAUGGACCCGCGUCGCAUUAGCUAGUUGGUGAGGUAACGGCUCACCAAGGCAACGAUGCGUAGCCGGCCUGAGAGGGUGAUCGGCCACACUGGGACUGAGACACGGCCCAGACUCCUACGGGAGGCAGCAGUAGGGAAUCUUCCGCAAUGGACGAAAGUCUGACGGAGCAACGCCGCGUGAGUGAUGAAGGCUUUCGGGUCGUAAAACUCUGUUGUUAGGGAAGAACAAGUGCUAGAUGAAUAAGCUGGCACCUUGACGGUACCUAACCAGAAAGCCACGGCUAACUACGUGCCAGCAGCCGCAGUAA